CGCCGGCUUGAAGAUGCCCUAGGGUUUCGAAGGUCUCGGGUUUGGAGAGGUUGGUAUCAGGGAGGUGUUGCUUGGAUUAGGGAAGGAAUCAGAUCAGACUCGUGCUAGGUUUUCCCUGGAUUGGAUCUUGGAUCUCCUCUGCCUUGCUAUUGAUUAGGGUACGGGAUUGAAGAGGAGGAGGGAGGUUUGUUUUGUUUUGGUUCCAGCAGCACUUCUUUGGCUGCGGAUCAAGAGCAAAGGUUGGAGAU